rnacentral:rRNA from 1 species
UACGAAGGGGGCUAGCGUUGUUCGGAAUUACUGGGCGUAAAGCGCACGUAGGCGGACUACUAAGUCAGGGGUGAAAUCCCGGGGCUCAACCCCGGAACUGCCUUUGAUACUGAUAGUCUCGAGUCCGGAAGAGGUGAGUGGAAUUCCGAGUGUAGAGGUGAAAUUCGUAGAUAUUCGGAGGAACACCAGUGGCGAAGGCGGCUCACUGGUCCAGUACUGACGCUGAGGUGCGAAAGCGUGGGGAGCAAACAGG